rnacentral:snRNA from 1 species
AUCGCUUCUCGGCCUUUGGGCUAAGAUCAAGUGUAGACAAGAGAAAUAAGUAGACCCUAAAUUUUGAAAUUAUUAAUCAGUGAGAAAAAUGUUCUUAGAGCUUCCAGUUUUACCACAAAGAAGUUUUGCAACAUACUAUUUUGAAACAAAA